UACGUAGGGUGCGAGCGUUGUCCGGAAUUAUUGGGCGUAAAGAGCUUGUAGGCGGUUUGUCGCGUCUGCUGUGAAAAUCCGGGGCUCAACCCGGACUUGCAGUGGGUACGGGCAGACUAGAGUGUGGUAGGGGAGACUGGAAUUCCUGGUGUAGCGGUGAAAUGCGCAGAUAUCAGGAGGAACACCGAUGGCGAAGGCAGGUCUCUGGGCCACUACUGACGCUGAGAAGCGAAAGCAUGGGGGAGCGAACGGG
rnacentral:rRNA from 1 species